rnacentral:rRNA from 1 species
UACGGAAGGCAGCAGUGGGGAAUAUUGCACAAUGGGCGCAAGCCUGAUGCAGCCAUGCCGCGUGUAUGAAGAAGGCCUUCGGGUUGUAAAGUACUUUCAGUCGUGAGGAAGGUGUUAAGGUUAAUAACCUUAGCAAUUGACGUUAGCGACAGAAGAAGCACCGGCUAACUCCGCGCCAGCAGCCGCGGUAAUACGGAGGGUGCGAGCGUUAAUCGGAAUUACUGGGCGUAAAGGGCACGCAGGCGGUUAAUUAAGUUGGAUGUGAAAUCCCCGGGCUUAACCUGGGAAUGGCAUUCAAGACUGGUUAGCUAGAGUCUUGUAGAGGGGGUAGAAUUCCAUGUGUAGCGGUGAAAUGCGUAGAGAUGUGGAGGAAUACCGGGUGGCGAAGGCGGCCCCUGGGACAAAGACUGACGCUCAUGUGCGAAAGCGUGGGGAGCAAACAGGGAUUAGAUACC